CCAGCUCAUGCUCCUUACUCCAAUCCACCGCCUGACUUUACUACAAAACUCAGCUCAUUCUUCCUUUGCUUAUUUAGCUGAGAGAAGGGAGGAAAAAUUUCUGAAAAAUUGGAAAAUGAUCUUUCUUCAAUGUUUGGAUGUUGGGGGAUUUCACGAGAUAGAGGAAAGGAGAGACGAAGAUGCUUAGUUGUGAAGGCAGGCUUGCUUGAUGACGGUAGGGGAGGCGAGCUCGCAAUGGCUACCCGACCCUUUCGUCGAGAGGGGCUUGAGGAAGAGCUUGUAGAGGAAGAAAUGACGAAGCUCAACCACCGAAGGAAGCAAGGGAGGAGAUGGUACAGAUUGCUGUCGAUUUUGUCGGAGUUUGAGUCGGCGUCAGUCGAAAAUCGACGAAGGUCCUCCGCCUUUGGCCCCCGGUUACCUUAUUCUCCCUUUUGAUUUUAUACUAACAACUUCAUCUGCACGUUACGCGAGAUUAUUAUUUGAUUAUGUAUUUUAUAUAUGCAUCAUUAGAUUGUAAUUCUAUUAUAUUGUGCUUGAAAUAAGUUAAUAUUAUGAAUUAAUUAAUUUUAUAUAGUUUUUUUUCUUUUUGAGAAUUUUCAUGAUUUAUUAUGGUUAUCUAAUUAAUGUGGCGAGUUAAUAAAUGUAAAUCAUGUAAUAAAUGAAAGUACUUAAUUUAUAUCAAUGGAUAUGUAAAGGGUCAAGCCAUGAAGAGCUGAGGUUGAAAAUUA